CAUUUUUUGUAUGGAUCCCGGCCCGCGUAAACCAUUUCCAGUCCCGUAUAAGAAAAGUUGGAUCGAAAGUAUGUAUUUCGGUAGGUAUUUAACAAAACAAAAGGGGUUUUAGCAAAAAUAUAAAACGAAAAGGUAUUACAAUCUAGUGAAAGCUACUUGGAGUGGAACAAAGUUGUAGAAUCUGGUCUCUCAUAUCUCAUUUCCUCUUGUUUUGUAAAGAUGGCAUAGUCGCCUUUUGUAGCUUGUACCAGAAAAGGGAAAUGUUAGGGAUUCUGUCCUUUUACAUUUUGUUUUCUUGUUAAAAUUAUUAUGAAUCUAUCCUACGUUGAAGAAUGUGUAUGGUAACAACCCCUCCACUUCUAAUUAUUA